GACGAACGCUGGCGGCGUGCCUAACACAUGCAAGUCGAGCGAUGAAACCCUUCGGGGUGGAUUAGCGGCGGACGGGUGAGUAACACGUGGGCAACCUGCCUCAAAGAGGGGGAUAGCCUCCCGAAAGGGAGAUUAAUACCGCAUAAUAUUAGUUUUUCGCAUGAAGAACUAAUCGAAGGAGUAAUCCGCUUUGAGAUGGACCCGCGGCGCAUUAGCUAGUUGGUGAGGUAAAGGCUCACCAAGGCGACGAUGCGUAGCCGACCUGAGAGGGUGAUCGGCCACAUUGGAACUGAGACACGGUCCAGACUCCUACGGGAGGCAGCAGUGGGGAAUAUUGCACAAUGGGCGAAAGCCUGAUGCAGCAACGCCGCGUGAGUGAUGAAGGCCUUCGGGUUGUAAAGCCCUUUCGGCGGGGAAGAUAAUGACGGUACCCGCAGAAGAAGCCCCGUCUAACUUCGUGCCAGCCGCCGCUGUAAGAC
rnacentral:rRNA from 1 species